rnacentral:rRNA from 1 species
AUUGAACGCUGGCGGCAGGCUUAACACAUGCAAGUCGAACGAGUGGCGGACGGGUGAGUAAUGUCUGGGAAACUGCCUGAUGGAGGGGGAUAACUACUGGAAACGGUAGCUAAUACCGCAUACCAUCGGAUGUGCCCAGAUGGGAUUAGCUAGUAGGUGGGGUAAAGGCUCACCUAGGCGACGAUCCCUAGCUGGUCUGAGAGGAUGACCAGCAACACUGGAACUGAGACACGGUCCAGACUCCUACGGGAGGCAGCAGUGGGGAAUAUUGCACAAUGGGCGAAAGCCUGAUGCAGCCAUGCCGCGUGUGUGAAGAAGGCCUUCGGGUUGUAAAGUACUUUCAGCGAGGAGGCGUUACUCGCAGAAGAAGCACCGGCUAACUCCGUGCCAGCAGCCGCGGUAAUUC